UACGUAGGGGGCAAGCGUUGUCCGGAUUUAUUGGGCGUAAAGAGCGUGUAGGCGGUUUGGUAGGUCCGCUGUGAAAACUCGAGGCUCAACCUCGAGACGCCGGUGGAAACCAUCAGACUAGAGUCCGGAAGAGGAGAGUGGAAUUCCUGGUGUAGCGGUGAAAUGCGCAGAUAUCAGGAAGAACACCCGUGGCGAAGGCGGCUCUCUGGGACGGUACUGACGCUGAGACGCGAAAGCGUGGGGAGCGAACGGG
rnacentral:rRNA from 1 species